rfam:Candidatus Magasanikbacteria bacterium RIFOXYA2_FTLL_44_8 rifoxya2_full_scaffold_5626, whole genome shotgun sequence.
GCCCCCGUGGCGGAACUGGCAGACGCGCUAGCUUCAGGAGCUAGUGGCCGCAAGGCCAUACAGGUUCAAAUCCUGUCGGGGGCA